rnacentral:rRNA from 1 species
GACGAACGCUGGCGGCGUGCUUAACACAUGCAAGUCGAACGGAAAGGCCCCUUUGGGGGUACUCGAGUGGCGAACGGGUGAGUAACACGUGAGUAACCUGCCCUUGACUUCGGGAUAACUUCAGGAAACUGGGGCUAAUACCGGAUAGGAAUCCUUGCUGCAUGGUGGGGGUUGGAAAGCUUCGGCGGUUUUGGAUGGACUCGCGGCUUAUCAGCUUGUUGGUGGGGUAGUGGCUUACCAAGGCUUUGACGGGUAGCCGGCCUGAGAGGGCGACCGGCCACAUUGGGACUGAGAUACGGCCCAGACUCCGACGGGAGGCAGAAGUGGGGAAUAUUGCACAAUGGGCGGAAGCCUGAUGCAGCAACGCCGCGUGCGGGAUGACGGCCUUCGGGUUGUAAACCGCUUUCAGCAGGGGCGAAGCUUGUGGUGACGGUACCUGCAGAAGAAGCACCGGCUAACUACGUG